GAUGAACGCUGGCGGCGUGCCUAAUACAUGCAAGUCGAGCGAACAGACGAGGAGCUUGCGCCUCUGACGUUAGCGGCGGACGGGUGAGUAACACGUGGAUAACCUACCUAUAAGACUGGGAUAACUUCGGGAAACCGGAGCUAAUACCGGAUAACAUGUUGAACCGCAUGGUUCAACAGGGAAAGACGGUCUUGCUGUCACUUAUAGAUGGAUCCGCGCCGCAUUAGCUAGUUGGUAAGGUAACGGCUUACCAAGGCAACGAUGCGUAGCCGACCUGAGAGGGUGAUAGCCCACACGGGAACUGAGACACGGUCCAUACUCCUACGGGAGGCAGCAGUAGGGAAUCUUCCGCAAUGGGCGAAAGCCUGACGGAGCAACGCAGCGUGAGUGAUGAAGGUCUUCGGAUCGUAAAACUCUGUUAUUAGGGAAGAACAACUGUGUAAGUAACUAUGCACGUCUUGACGGUACCUAAACAGAAAGCCACGGCUAACUACGUG
rnacentral:rRNA from 1 species